GCGGGGGUAGCCAAGCGGACUACGGCGCAAGCCUGGAGAGAUAAACUUGAAAGCUUGUGAUCCAUUGGAUCGCGCGGGUUCGAAUCCCGCCCCCCGCG
rnacentral:tRNA from 1 species